rnacentral:rRNA from 1 species
GACGAACGCUGGCGGCGUGCUUAACACAUGCAAGUCGAACGAAGUGGCGAACGGGUGAGUAACACGUGGGUAACCUGCCCUCCUUUGUGGGAUAAGACUUGGAAACGGGGUCUAAUACCGGAUAGUGAGGGAUGGGCGCGCGGUCUAUCCGUUUGUUGGUGGGGGUGUGGCCUAGCAAGGCGGUGACGAGUAGCCGGCCUGAGAGGGUGACCGGCCGCGUGAGGGCUGAGAUAGGGCCCGGGAUACGACGGGAGGCAGCAGGGGGGGCUGCUGCGCAAUAGGCGGAGGCAUGGUGCAGCGACGCAGGGAGGAAGAUGGAGGCUUUCGUGUUGGAAACCUCUUUCGCUACCGAACGGGUAGGUGGAGAAGAAGCGCCGGCUAACUACGUGCCAGCAGCCGCGGUAAUAC